rnacentral:sRNA from 1 species
GAGAGAUUUGGGAAGAGAAACGGAAGGAUCA